AAUCUCUGAAUGGAUCCCAAUGUGGGGCUCAGUCUCAUAACCGUGAAAUCAAAAUCUGAGCCAAUAUCAAGAGACGCUUAACUGAUGGAGCCACCCAGGUGCCCCCAGAAAUGUUCUUGAGGAGCAGAAAAGCCAAGAUUAUAGGAUAUCAAGAUGGGAUUGUGGCUGAGCUGGAAGAGAAAAGAACAUCACCAAUAGACAAAAACUGAGAGUAAUAGGGCUUUAGUUGUUAAGCCCCUCUUUUGGGCAGAGGAAGCAUCCAAAUCCAAGAGCCCUAUGAACCUGGUGGUAAAGCAGAUCUGCUCUGCUUCUUUUUGCCCAAAGUACUACCAACAUGCAGGAAACAGGGACCAAAGAAACAUGUUAAAUGACACCAUGCAGAUUGGAUGCAACUAACCAAGUUUAGAAUGUGGGAAAGAUGACAAGGCAAAGACCAGUUUCUUCAAUAAACCAAUUGCAAAGAAAACAGAAAGUGGAGGCAAUAUAGAUUAACAGAGAUUUAAGAGACAUACCAAAACAAUUCUUUGCUAUUUCUUCCAUUGAAGGUUGGAUUCUAAUUUCCCUCCCCUUGAAUUUGAUCUGGCCUUAGUGACUUGGUCGAUCAACAGGAUGUAGUGAAAAUGACAUUCUGGGAAUUCUGGGGCUAGUUUGUAAGAAGCCUGGGAGGUGCCACAUGAGGCCACUUGCAGCACUGUCUCUGGGAUACCUGAGCCUAAGAAGUCUGAGUACUCUUAGACCAGUAUGUUGGAGAGGCCAGCAUUGUAGGCACAGGUGCAGUCAUGUGAAUGAUGCCAUCUUGGAUCCUCCACACCAGCUAUAGUCGAUGUGGAGUGGACCAGAAGGAUGACUCAGCCAAGCAUUGCUCAAUUAGUAAUCCAUAAUACUGUGAGAUAUAAUAAAAUGUUUGUUUUUAGCUACUCAGUUUUGGAGUUGUUUGCUAUACAACUAUAGACAAACAGAAUAACAUCUAAUAUUUUAAGAUGGAAAUUAAGAUCUGGUGUUAGUAAAUGUGGUUUGCAGGAGGAAAGGAUGACAAAAAAACCAAAAACAAACCAAGAGAUAUGUUUUUGGGCAUGUUCAAUUUGUGAGGUAAUGUUAUUUCAUGAUGAAAAUGAUAAUAA